rnacentral:rRNA from 1 species
AUUGAACGCUGGCGGCAGGCCUAACACAUGCAAGUCGAGCGGCAGCGGGAAAGUAGCUUGCUACUUUUUGCCGGCGAGCGGCGGACGGGUGAGUAAUGCCUGGGAAAUUGCCCAGUCGAGGGGGAUAACAGUUGGAAACGGCUGCUAAUACCGCAUACGCCCUACGGGGGAAAGCAGGGGACCUUCGAGCCUUGCGCGAUUGGAUAUGCCCAGGUGGGAUUAGCUAGUUGGUGAGGUAAUGGCUCACCAAGGCGACGAUCCCUAGCUGGUCUGAGAGGAUGAUCAGCCACACUGGAACUGAGACACGGUCCAGACUCCUACGGGAGGCAGCAGUGGGGAAUAUUGCACAAUGGGGGAAACCCUGAUGCAGCCAUGCCGCGUGUGUGAAGAAGGCCUUCGGGUUGUAAAGCACUUUCAGCGAGGAGGAAAGGUUGAUGCCUAAUACGUAUCAACUGUGACGUUACUCGCAGAAGAAGCACCGGCUAACUCCGUGCCAGCAGCCGCCGUAA